UCGCUGCAGUCUAUGGUGUGUGUGCCGUGAGAGAGCAGUGAGGACUGAGGAGAUCUGAAUAGUUUUGUUUAUUUACUUUCUCAACAUAAUACAAGCUUUUGCGCAGAAAAUGGCCGAAAAGGACCGAAUCGAGUUCCCAGAGGAGGUGAAAGAAGUUAAGUCGAACUUGGUGGAGGAGCCGGCCCCUGAUGCUGAAGACAGCAAGAUCGUGGUGGUGGAACAGAGCCGGCCCGCUGGGCUCCCGCAGAUAGCCAUGAGGAACAUGAUCCAGGCGCCCGGGAACUGCCCGCCCGGGUACAUGAUGGAUGCUGAGGGGAAGUGCCGGGAGGUCUUCUAACUCUAGUGUAUGUAGAUGACAAGGUCAUUCGGUUGCUCUCAGAAAUUUCGGUAUAUAAUUAUUAAACUAAGGCUUAUUCGUACUAACUUACUUAAGAUUGAAAUUGUAAAUAUUUAUUGAACUAAUGUUUAUUUUACAUAAAAUGUAAUUCUUCUUUA